UGGGAAAGCUGGCGUACCUCCUGCACCUGCGAUUUCACCAGCUGGAUGUGGCUCCUGGCCGUUAUGGAGGCCUGGUCCGCACCUGCCGGAAGAUGGGCCAUUUAUGCUGAGUGGACACAAGGAAAGCCUGGGGGCUCUUUGUGGUUGUACCUGAGCCUCCCCGCAGAGUAGAGAACCUUCUACCUCCAUAUUCAGGGUUGCAGAUAUCCUUCCUCUGGGGCUUAUCUUAUGGCUCAGAAGGUAAAGAAUCUGCCUGCAAUGCAAGAGACCAACGGGUUUGAUCCCUGGAUUGGGAAAAUCCCCUGGAGAAGAAGGGCUUCCCACUCCAGCAUUCUUGCCUGGAGAAUUCCGUGGACAGAGGAGCCUGGUGGGUUACAGUCCACGGAGUCGCAGAGAGUUGGACACAACUGAAAAACUAACACACUCAAGCAUAUACUUCCUUUCAAUUCAGACAGACAAAGAGAACAAAAUGCAGAUGGAAAACUCAGAAGGCUGAGAAUAAAGCUGCUGGAAAAUGAAGGGUUCCUGGACAGUGAGGCCAACCACAGCCCCUUCCCUGCAGCUAAGUGUCUCAUCUGCAUGGACCCUACAUUACAUGAGGAUCAGCAAAACUAAUUUAAAAAGAUAUAUGCACCCCUAUGUCUACAGCAGCCCUACUUACA